GGCACUGUGGCUCAAGUGGUAGAGCACUAGCUUUGAACAUAGAGGCUCAGAGACAGUGCCU
rnacentral:tRNA from 1 species